rnacentral:rRNA from 1 species
CCUACGGGUGGCUGCAGUGGGGAAUAUUGGACAAUGGGCGAAAGCCUGAUCCAGCCAUGCCGCGUGUGUGAAGAAGGCCUUCGGGUUGUAAAGCACUUUCAGUGGGGAAGAAAGCCUUGGGGCUAAUACCCUCGAGGAAGGACAUCACCCACAGAAGAAGCACCGGCUAACUCCGUGCCAGCAGCCGCGGUAAUACGGAGGGUGCGAGCGUUAAUCGGAAUUACUGGGCGUAAAGCGCGCGUAGGCGGUUUGAUAAGCCGGUUGUGAAAGCCCCGGGCUCAACCUGGGAACGGCAUCCGGAACUGUCAGGCUAGAGUGCAGGAGAGGAAGGUAGAAUUCCCGGUGUAGCGGUGAAAUGCGUAGAGAUCGGGAGGAAUACCAGUGGCGAAGGCGGCCUUCUGGACUGACACUGACGCUGAGGUGCGAAAGCGUGGGUAGCAAACAGGAUUAGAUACCCCGGUAGUC